GAGUAGGAUAGUCCAGUGGUAAGGGUGAUCGACUCCCAACUGAAAGGUUCUGGGUUCGAUCCCCAACUUCCUCA